AGCUGGACGUGUGCGUGGAGGAGGCCGAGGGCGAGGCGCCGUGGACGUGGACCGGCCUCUGCAUCUUCGCCGCACUCUUCCUGCUCAGCGUGAGCUACAGCGCCGCCAUCACGCUCCUCAUGGUGCAGCGGUUCCUCUCAGCCACGCGGCAGGGGAGGCCCCAGACCUCCCUCGACUACACCAACGUCCUCCAGCCCCACGCCUAG
rnacentral:lncRNA from 1 species